ensembl:lncRNA
GGAGCCAGAAACCAGCAGUGUUAAGAGAAAAUUUGCCAAGCCACCUGCUAUUCACUUUCCAGUGCUGCCAGUAUCCAACCAGUACCCUCUCUACCAACCCCAGAUGCAAGCAGUGCCUCUGGAGGAAACUAUUCUGAGGAUGUUCAGUCAUUUGACCAGCCUAAUAAUGACUUUUGUGGAAACUUCUUGGCAGAGCUAGAGUCAACAGAUCUCUGUAAUGAUGACUUUCCUGGCAAUCACCAUCAACACCCCCAGGGCUAUACAGACAUUGCUGCCAACCAAAACACCAAGAUGCUAACGGAGAUACUCAUGGAGGUGAAGCAAAUGUCACGGGACAUUCAGUUCAUAAAGACUGAAAUUGCCAAAUCCUCCAUGAGUAUUCCUGGAGCGGGAUCACAGAGAGAGGAGCCCUUCCCCAUUGUUCUGCCACUCGCCAAUGAGGAGCAGUUUGAUGAGGCUGAAGCUA